CCGAGUCCAGCAGAUGGCACUAUUUCCCCUUUCUCUAGUACAGUGGAACCCGCUUAAUGGGCACCACACACAUGAGGCGACAAACUAUAGGCGAUUGGCGAAACUCGGAGCAAACCAUGCACACGGGAGGCGACGAGCUACACUGCAAUGACUGCAGCUGUCUUUCAAGUGGCCUAUGGGAAUGCGGUGAUUGAAUUCUUUUUUGCUGACUCUUCUACCUUGCUAAAAACAUGAGUUGUAAAACAAAAACAAUUCGGAUUUGUGCUGUUGAUUGUGCUAAUUUAUGACACUGAAACAUCCUUUUUUUGUGUGAAUAUAUUAUUUUAUUUAUCUUAACCAACAAUCUCUCCAAUGCAUUUGAGGACACAACACUUGCCACUUACACAACAAAAAACAAAGAUAAAAUAAAUCACAUUACCAAACCAUAUUGGGCGUUCAUUUCUACACAACAUAACGUAACUUCAUCCAGCAUUUGAAACAUUGAAAAAAAUAAAUCAAA